rnacentral:rRNA from 1 species
UACGAAGGGGGCGAGCGUUGUUCGGAUUUACUGGGCGUAAAGGGCUUGUAGGCGGUCCGUUAAGUCCGAUGUGAAAUCUCCCGGCUCAACUGGGAGAGGUCAUUGGAUACUGGCGGACUAGAGGGGGGUAGAGGAAAGCAGAAUUCCUGGUGUAGCGGUGAAAUGCGUAGAUAUCAGGAGGAAUACCAGUGGCGAAGGCGGCUUUCUGGGCCUACCCUGACGCUGAGGAGCGAAAGCGUGGGGAGCAAACCGG